rnacentral:rRNA from 1 species
GGGAGGCUUAGAAGUGUGGACGCCAGUCUGCAUGGAGCCGACCUUGAAAUACCACCCUUUAAUGUUUGAUGUUCUAACGUUGACCCGUAAUCCGGGUUGCGGACAGUGUCUGGUGGGUAGUUUGACUGGGGCGGUCUCCUCCUAAAGAGUAACGGAGGAGCACGAAGGUUGGCUAAUCCUGGUCGGACAUCAGGAGGUUAGUGCAAUGGCAUAAGCCAGCUUGACUGCGAGCGUGACGGCGCGAGCAGGUGCGAAAGCAGGUCAUAGUGAUCCGGUGGUUCUGAAUGGAAGGGCCAUCGCUCAACGGAUAAAAGGUACUCCGGGGAUAACAGGCUGAUACCGCCCAAGAGUUCAUAUCGACGGCGGUGUUUGGCACCUCGAUGUCGGCUCAUCACAUCCUGGGGCUGAAGUAGGUCCCAAGGGUAUGGCUGUUCGCCAUUUAAAGUGGUACGCGAGCUGGGUUUAGAACGUCGUGAGACAGUUCGGUCCCUAUCUGCCGUGGGCGCUGGAGAACUGAGGGGGGCUGCUCCUAGUACGAGAGGACCGGAGUGGACGCAUCACUGGUGUUCGGGUUGUCAUGCCAAUGGCACUGCCCGGUAGCUAAAUGCGGAAGAGAUAAGUGCUGAAAGCAUCUAAGCACGAAACUUGCC